rnacentral:rRNA from 1 species
GCAGCAGCCGCGGGAAUACAGAGGGUGCAAGCGUUAAUCGGAAUUACUGGGCGUAAAGCGCGCGUAGGUGGUUCGCCAAGUUGGAUGUGAAAUCCCCGGGCUCAACCUGGGAACUGCAUCCAAAACUGGCGAGCUAGAGUAUGGUAGAGGGUGGUGGAAUUUCCUGUGUAGCGGUGAAAUGCGUAGAUAUAGGAAGGAACAUCAGUGGCGAAGGCGACCACCUGGACUGAUACUGACACUGAGGUGCGAAAGCGUGGGGAGCAAACAGGAUUAGAUACCCCCGUAGUCCCUGUCUCUUAUAC